rnacentral:snRNA from 1 species
GUACUUGCUUCGGCAGUACAUAUACUAAAAUUGGAACGUUACAAAGAAGAUUAGCAUGGCCCCUGCGCUUACCCGCAUUAUAAUCACUCACAUUAGU